rnacentral:lncRNA from 1 species
AAGAAAUCAAAUUAUUGUAAUGAAGAAAAUGUUAUAUUCCUUUAUCCCAUAUAUUUUAUAGUCGUUUUUAUAAAAUAUAUAUAAACGUGUGUCAUGAUUUGUUUUAACUUCUUGAUUUACACUCAUAUCAUAUGAUUUAUAGUACUAAUAUCUUUUGCCCACCCUUCCGCCAAAAAAAAAAAGAAAGAAACAAAACUUUUUAUACAAUCAUAAACAAAACAUCCA